GUGCUCACUUUGGCAGCACAUAUACUAAACUUGGAACAACAGAGAUUAGCAUGGUCCCUGCGCAAGUAUGACAUGCAAAUUCAUGAAGCAUUCCAUAUUUUU